AGUGAACGCUGGCGGUAGGCCUAACACAUGCAAGUCGAACGGCAGCACAGUAAGAGCUUGCUCUUACGGGUGGCGAGUGGCGGACGGGUGAGGAAUACAUCGGAAUCUACUUUUUCGUGGGGGAUAACGUAGGGAAACUUACGCUAAUGCCGCAUACGACCUACGGGUGAAAGCAGGGGAUCUUCGGACCUUGCGCGAUUGAAUGAGCCGAUGUCGGAUUAGCUAGUUGGCGGGGUAAAGGCCCACCAAGGCGACGAUCCGUAGCUGGUCUGAGAGGAUGAUCAGCCACACUGGAACUGAGACACGGUCCAGACUCCUACGGGAGGCAGCUGUGGGGAAUAUUGGACAAUGGGCGCAAGCCUGAUCCAGCCAUACCGCGUGGGUGAAGAAGGCCUUCGGGUUGUAAAGCCCUUUUGUUGGGAAAGAAAAGCAGCAGGUUAAUACCCCGCUGUUCUGACGGUACCCAAAGAAUAAGCACCGGCUAACUUCGUG
rnacentral:rRNA from 1 species